rnacentral:misc_RNA from 1 species
AGAGUUAAAUAGUACGUGAAAUUGUUGAAAGGGAAACGAUUGAAGUCAGUCGUACCGAUGGGCAUUCAGCCUCUUGAGAACGAUUAUGCGGGCGCCGAGGAGCUCAAACCCUCGCGUUCGCAUAAUCGUUCUCAAGGGGUGUACUUGCUCGUAUGGUAGGUUAACAUCAAUUUUGGUCGUCAUAAAAUGACGGGAGGAAUGUAGCUUUGAUCUCGUAUUGAAGUGUUAUAACCUCUGGUAAAUAUGAUGAUCGGGAUUGAGGAUUGCAACGAACCCUUCGGGGCUACUUGUCUGGCCUCCGGGGACGCUCUGGUGCUGAAAGCUUGCUUACGGUUCAGGUCGUCAAAAAGGUUAGAACGGGUUAAGUUCGUUAAGGAUGUUGACAUAAUGGCUUUAAACGA